rnacentral:lncRNA from 1 species
GAUCAGGUGAGCAAAUACAUUUCUUUAUUGUUAUCUGCAGCUCAAACAUCCUGACCUGUACACCAACUGCUCCUGGCAUCUCUCCGUGGAGCCUAGACUUGCUCUCUGUAUCCUCAACACCAGGCCUGCUGCAGACCCAACCAAUCUCCAGGAGUUGGCAUUCUAGUAAAAGCCUAUUUGCUAUCUCUUAUAAUGUCAAGUCACCUUUUGUGCAGCUGAAAUUAAACUCAUCUGAAGGGCAAAGUAAAAGGCUUCCUUUUAAGCUUUUAAUGACUUUGGAAGAAUAUUGCUGACCACUAAGCCACAGAUCACAAAGCUUUAUGUAAUUGGAGGCUACCCACUGAAAAAUCUGGUGGCAAUAGCUAAAGAUAGGGGGCAGUUAGUAGAGCUGGAGUCUAUCUGUUGUUUAGGAAAUAUUUGUUGAUUCCCUCCCAUGUACCACACCUUGGGUAUUAUGGAGGAUACCAAACCAGGAAAACAAGGUUCUGGACUGAACAGUUGCAGGAGGAGAAGUGAUGUGAAUUCUGGGCCAUGAUAAUAUUUCAUGUUCUGCAAUGAAGGUGAUUUUUUUUUACUUUUUAUUGUAGUGUAAUGAAUAAUAUAUGCGUGGCAAAGUGCACAAAUCUUAAAUAUGCAGCUCAAUGAAUUUUUAAAAAGCAAGUACACCCAUGCACUUGGCAUUUAGGUUAAGAAACAGAACAUCAACAGAUCUCAGAAGUUUCCUUCAUUCUCCUUCCCAGCACACAACCCCUGUGGCUUUCAAACAACUGUUAUUCUCUCUGUCACCAUGGAUAAGCUUUGCCUGAUUUGAACUCUAUAUGAAUGGAAUUACACUUUGGGGUCUGGCUUCUCUUGCUCACCAUUAAUCUGAGACACAUCUUGUUGUUGGUAGUGGAUACACUUCAUCCAGUUGGUGACUGCAAUAUCUUGUUGUAUGACCACAACAUAAUUUAUUUAUUCCUUCUUCUGUUAAUGGACUUUUGGGUUGGUACAAAUAAUGGUGCUAGGAUAAUUGUUGUCCAUGUUUUUUGGUGAAAAUAAGUACACAAUGACAAACAGAAAAUCAAUAGUUUCCUAGAAUGUGUGUUUCAGGGGUAGAUGAUAGAAAUAUUUGGUGUUUUGAUGUGGCAAUGGUCAUGCAGAUGUGUACAUGCCCUAAACAUGCAUACAUGUAUUCUAUUUAUUGAUUUAUUUUGAGACAGGUCUCACUAAGUUGCAGAGGCUAGCCUCAAAUUUGCAGUCCUCCUGCCUCAGCCUCCCAAGUUGCUGGGUUACUGGUGUUCCACACUAUGCUCUGUUGGUGUAUUCUUUUUAAAAAAUAUUUAUUUUGGAUGUUGGUGGACCUUUAUUUAAUUCACUUAUUUGUAUACAGUGCUGAGAAUCAAACCCAGUGUCUCACAAAUGCUAGGUGAGUGCUCUACCACUGAGCCACAACCCUAGCCCCUCUUGUUGUAG